rnacentral:rRNA from 1 species
GACGAACGCUGGCGGCGUGCUUAACACAUGCAAGUCGAACGGAAAGGCCCUGCUUUUGUGGGGUGCUCGAGUGGCGAACGGGUGAGUAACACGUGAGUAACCUGCCAUUGACUUUGGGAUAACUUCAGGAAACUGGGGCUAAUACCGGCUAGGAGCUCCUGCUGCAUGGUGGGGGUUGGAAAGUUUCGGCGGUUGGGGAUGGACUCGCGGCUUAUCAGCUUGUUGGUGGGGUAGUGGCUUACCAAGGCUUUGACGGGUAGCCGGCCUGAGAGGGUGACCGGCCACAUUGGGACUGAGAGACGGCCCAGACUCCUACGGGAGGCAGCAGUGGGGAAUAUUGCACAAUGGGCGGAAGCCUGAUGCAGCAGCGCCGCGUGCGGGAUGACGGCCUUCGGGUUGUAAACCGCUUUCGCCUGUGACGAAGCGUGAGUGACGGUAAUGGGUAAAGAAGCACCGGCUAACUACGUG